rnacentral:rRNA from 1 species
CCUACGGGAGGCAGCAGUGGGGAAUCUUGGACAAUGGGCGCAAGCCUGAUCCAGCCAUGCCGCGUGAGUGAUGAAGGCCCUAGGGUCGUAAAGCUCUUUCGCCUGUGAAGAUAAUGACGGUAGCAGGUAAAGAAACCCCGGCUAACUCCGUGCCAGCAGCCGCGGUAAUACGGAGGGGGUUAGCGUUGUUCGGAAUUACUGGGCGUAAAGCGCACGUAGGCGGAUUAGUCAGUCAGAGGUGAAAUCCCAGGGCUCAACCCUGGAACUGCCUUUGAUACUGCUAGUCUUGAGUUCGAGAGAGGUAAGUGGAAUUCCGAGUGUAGAGGUGAAAUUCGUAGAUAUUCGGAGGAACACCAGUGGCGAAGGCGGCUUACUGGCUCGAUACUGACGCUGAGGUGCGAAAGUGUGGGGAGCAAACAGGAUUAGAUACCCUGGUAGUCCACACCGUAAACGAUGAAUGCCAGUCGUCGGAUAGUAUACUAUUCGGUGACACACCUAACGGAUUAAGCAUUCCGCCUGGGGAGUACGGUCGCAAGAUUAAAACUCAAAGGAAUGACGG